rnacentral:lncRNA from 1 species
GCAUGUAUAUAGGUGAUUCGUUUUUGGUCAAUCUUGAAUGUUGGUACUUUGAUUCUUGAUUGUGGUUUAUGUUUUGAAUGGUUAUAUGUCAUGUAUAUAGGUUAUUUUGGGAUUAUGUGGUAAAUGUUGUAAUGUGAUUUAUAUGGUCUAUAUGUAAUGUGUUCUUCAAGGUUAUUUAGCAUGUUUGAUGGAAUGAAUGGUUUAAACAUGCC